AGCAGCCGCGGUAAUUCCAGCUCCAAUAGCGUAUAUUAAAGUUGUUGCAGUUAAAAGCUCGUAGUUGAAUUUCGGGAUCAAUAUAUCGGUCGUGCCUUUGGUACGUACUGGUAUCAUUGAUUUCUCCUUUCUGACGAAUAAUGAUGUCAUUAAUUUGGUGUUAUGAGGAGUUAGGACUGUUACUUUGAAAAAUUUAGAGUGUUUAAAGCAGGCAUUAGCUUGAAUACAUUAGCAUGGAAUAAUGAAAUUAGGACGUUUGACCCUAUUUUGUUGGUUUUUAGGAUCGACGUAAUGAUUAAUAGGGAUAGUUGGGGGGCAUUAGUAUUCAAUUGUCAGAGGUGAAAUUCUUGGAUUUAUUGAAGACUAACUACUGCGAGAGCAUUUGCCAAGGAUGUUUUCAUUAAUCAAGAACGAAAGUUAGGGGAUCGAAGACGAUCAGAUACCGUCGUAGUCUUAACCAUAAACUAUGCCGACUAGGGAUCGGAUGAUGUUAAUUUUUAUAAUGACUCAUUCGGCGCCU
rnacentral:rRNA from 1 species